rnacentral:rRNA from 1 species
AUUGAACGCUGGCGGCAUGCCUUACACAUGCAAGUCGAACGGUAACAGGUCUUCGGAUGCUGACGAGUGGCGAACGGGUGAGUAAUACAUCGGAACGUGCCCGAUCGUGGGGGAUAACGGAGCGAAAGCUUUGCUAAUACCGCAUACGAUCUACGGAUGAAAGCAGGGGACCGCAAGGCCUUGCGCGAACGGAGCGGCCGAUGGCAGAUUAGGGAGUUGGGGGGAUAAAAGCUUACCAAGCCGACGAUCUGUAGCUGGUCUGAGAGGACGACCAGCCACACUGGGACUGAGACACGGCCCAGACUCCUACGGGAGGCAGCAGUGGGGAAUUUUGGACAAUGGGCGCAAGCCUGAUCCAGCAAUGCCGCGUGCAGGAUGAAGGCCUUCGGGUUGUAAACUGCUUUUGUACGGAACGAAAAGGCUCUGGUUAAUACCUGGGGCUCAUGACGGUACCGUAAGAAUAAGCACCGGCUAACUACGUGCCAGCCGCCGCAGUAAAAC